CCUACGGGUGGCAGCAGUGAGGAAUAUUGGUCAAUGGACGAGAGUCUGAACCAGCCAAGUAGCGUGAAGGAUGACUGCCCUAUGGGUUGUAAACUUCUUUUAUAAAGGAAUAAAACGAGGCACGUGUGCCUUUUUGCAUGUACUUUAUGAAUAAGGAUCGGCUAACUCCGUGCCAGCGGCCGCGGUAAUACGGAGGAUCCGAGCGUUAUCCGGAUUUAUUGGGUUUAAAGGGAGCGUAGAUGGGAUGUUAAGUCAGUUGUGAAAGUUUGCGGCUCAACCGUAAAAUUGCAAUUGAUACUGGCAGUCUUGAGUACAGUUGAGGUAGGCGGAAUUCGUGGUGUAGCGGUGAAAUGCUUAGAUAUCACGAAGAACCCCGGUUGCGAAGGCAGCUUACUAAACUGUGACUGACAUUGAUGCUCGAAAGUGUGGGGAUCAAACAGGAUUAGAUACCCCAGUAGUC
rnacentral:rRNA from 1 species